rnacentral:rRNA from 1 species
CUACGGGCGGCAGCAGUGAGGAAUAUUGCGCAAUGGACGAAAGUCUGACGCAGCCAUGCCGCGUGCAGGAAGACGGCGCUACGCGUUGUAAACUGCUUUUAUACAUAAAGAAACCUCGGGACGUGUCCUGAGCUGACGGUCAUGUAUGAAUAAGCACCGGCUAACUCCGUGCCAGCAGCCGCGGUAAUACGGAGGGUGCAAGCGUUAUCCGGAUUUAUUGGGUUUAAAGGGUCCGUAGGCGGACGAUUAAGUCAGCGGUGAAAGCCCACAGCUCAACUGUGGAACUGCCAUUGAUACUGGUUGUCUUGAGUACGGUUGAUGUUGGCGGAAUAAGUCAUGUAGCGGUGAAAUGCAUAGAUAUGACUUGGAACCCCGAUUGCGAAGGCAGCCAACAAAGCCGAAACUGACGCUGAGGGACGAAAGCGUGGGUAGCGAACAGGAUUAGAUACCCGAGUAGUC